GGAGGGAGGAGGCACGCACGGCCUCGAGGGAGGAGACGUGUUGGCUGUGGCAACAUUGAGGAGUGGAAACAGUUUUCAUGAUUCCAAUUUCUCCCAAAGGCCACACAUCGAAAAGACACUUCUUUUAAUGACUCUCCAUCUGAUAGUUACAGAAGAGCAAACCUCCGAGAAAUCCGGCUCCUACUCUAAGGACUGGGACACUGUGGACUGGAGAGGCUGCGCUGAGCCUGAGUAGGAGGGCAGUGAAGCCGGUGACGAGUCCAGCAGCACCUGGCAACACUGCAGGAAGAGCCACCGAAGCUGUAAAUCAUUCUGAGUGGGAGGUCAGGAUCCACCUGAUCAAAUCCCACUCAUUUCCUAGAAAACGGCGUGCAGAACAUUCUCUUUGGUUUUUGUUGGCCAGCAGGCACUGAAGCAUCACAGGACAGCAGUGUGGUCCCUGCCUGUUCUGUGAAAUACACAUCGGGAAUUUUACAGUGAGGUCUCCUUGAGUGAGAUUUGAGCAACAAGCACACUAAGAACAAGGGCCCCAUAAAAUAUGGAAAUAAGAAAAAGGUGAUGUCACUACAGAAGAUAGUUUUUUGUUUGUUUUUACCUUAAAUCUCACCUGCUUCCUUUUGGCACAUAGAUAAAUAAAAAUAAGCUUCAGAGGUC